AGUGGCGGACGGGUGAGUAACGCGUGAGGAACCUGCCUCAAAGAGGGGGACAACAGUUGGAAACGACUGCUAAUACCGCAUAAGCCCACGACCCGGCAUCGGGAAGAGGGAAAGGGAGCAAUCCGCUUUGAGAUGGCCUCGCGUCCGAUUAGCUAGUUGGUGAGGUAACGGCCCACCAAGGCAACGAUCGGUAGCCGGACUGAGAGGUUGAACGGCCACAUUGGGACUGAGACACGGCCCAG
rnacentral:rRNA from 1 species